GAAGGCCUUCGGGUUGUAAAGCACUUUCAGUCGUGAGGAAAGGUUAGUAGCUAAUAACUGCUAACUGUGACGUUAGCGACAGAAGAAGCACCGGCUAACUCCGUGCCAGCAGCCGCGGUAAUACGGAGGGUGCGAGCGUUAAUCGGAAUUACUGGGCGUAAAGCGUGCGUAGGCGGUUUGUUAAGCGAGAUGUGAAAGCCCAGGGCUCAACCUUGGAACUGCAUUUCGAACUGGCAGGCUAGAGUAUUGUAGAGGGUGGUGGAAUUUCCAGUGUAGCGGUGAAAUGCGUAGAGAUUGGAAGGAACAUCAGUGGCGAAGGCGGCCACCUGGACAAAUACUGACGCUGAGGCACGAAAGCGUGGGGAGCAAACAGGAUUAGAUACCCUGGUAGUCCACGCCGUAAACGAUGUCAACUAGCUGUCUGUAGACUUGAUCUGUGGGUAGCGUAGCUAACGCGCUAAGUUGACCGCCUGGGGAGUACGGCCGCAAGGUUAAAACUCAAAUGAAUUGACGGGGGCCCGCACAAGCGGUGGAGCAUGUGGUUUAAUUCGAUGCAACGCGAAGAACCUUACCAUCCCUUGACAUCCAGAGAACUUACUAGAGAUAGUUUGGUGCCUUCGGGAACUCUGAGACAGGUGCUGCAUGGCUGUCGUCAGCUCGUGUUGUGAAAUGUUGGGUUAAGUCCCGCAACGAGCGCAACCCCUAUCCUUAUUUGCCAGCGCUUCGGGCGGGAACUCUAAGGAGACUGCCGGUGAUAAACCGGAGGAAGGUGGGGACGACGUCAAGUCAUCAUGGCCCUUACGGGAUGGGCUACACACGUGCUACAAUGGCAGAUACAGAGGGCAGCAAGACCGCGAGGUGGAGCGAAUCCCACAAAGUUUGUCGUAGUCCGGAUCGGAGUCUGCAACUCGACUCCGUGAAGUCGGAAUCGCUAGUAAUCGUGGAUCAGAAUGCCACGGUGAAUACGUUCCCGGGCCUUGUACACACCGCCCGUCACACCAUGGGAGUGGGUUGCAAAAGAAGUAGCUAGCUUAACCUUCGGGAGAGCGGUUACCACUUUGUGAUUCAUGACUGGGGUGAAGUCGUAACAAGGUAACCCUAGGGGAACCUGGGGUUGGAUCACCUCCUUACCUUAA
rnacentral:rRNA from 1 species